rnacentral:rRNA from 1 species
CAUGAAGCUGGAAUCGCUAGUAAUCGCAGGUCAGCAUACUGCGGUGAAUACGUUCCCGGGUCCUUGUACACACCGCCCGUCACACCAUGGGAGCCGGAAAUGCCCGAAGCCAGUGACCCAACCUUAGGGAGGGAGCUGUCGAAGGUGGAGCCGGUAACUGGGGUGAAGUCGUAACAAGGUACC